rnacentral:rRNA from 1 species
UGGGGAAUUUUGGACAAUGGGGGAAACCCUGAUCCAGCCAUCCCGCGUGUGCGAUGAAGGCCUUCGGGUUGUAAAGCACUUUUGGCAGGAAAGAAACGUCAUGGGUUAAUACCCCGUGAACCUGACGGUACCUGCAGAAUAAGCACCGGCUAACUACGUGCCAGCAGCCGCGGUAAUACGUAGGGUGCAAGCGUUAAUCGGAAUUACUGGGCGUAAAGCGUGCGCAGGCGGUUCGGAAAGAAGGAUGUGAAAUCCCAGAGCUCAACUUUGGAACUGCAUUUUUAACUACCGGGCUAGAGUGUGUCAGAGGGAGGUGGAAUUCCGCGUGUAGCAGUGAAAUGCGUAGAUAUGCGGAGGAACACAGAUGGCGAAGGCAGCCUCCUGGGAUAACACUGACGAUCAUGCACGAAAGCGUGGGGAGCAAACAGG